AGACAGAGACCGUUUCCUCUGCUGCCUUAUUGCCAGUUACAGUGAAUACAGUAUAUGACAAGAGUUUAUUAAUACUUUUCUGUGGCCAACAUCCGUGAGAGUGUAUACAAUGGCCCCAUGCAGGAAAAGAUCGAAAAGGAAGGCGGUAAGAAGGAGAUGAUUCCGGUGGAAGUUAAGAAGAAAAUCAAGGUAUGCAAAUGAGGUAUGAGAAUGGCAGAAAUUGCGAGAUUUUAUAAGAAGUCUACAUCGACCAUUUGCACAAUAUUAAAAGGAGAAAGAAGAAAUAAGGCGGCUAGAUGGCAGUAGCAAAAGCAGUGACUCCGUUAGUGAAAGUCGUCCUACACAAUAACCCUCCUCUUUCUUGUCUCCCUCACAUCAGCCGCAAAGGUUUUCAAAGGCUGACGCCUGAGAUGACCUCCAAGUGGAGGUGUGGAGGUGGCCAUAGGACUGGGACCUGUGCAUCUGGAGCUCAUGAGAAAGGGCCAGACUGGGGAGAUAGAUUGGAGCUUGUCUUUGGUUUGGAGCCCGGAGCACGGCCCCUGCUUGGAGAGGUGGCUUGGCCAGUUCACUGGCCAAAUGUGGAACCGGAAGUCACGAUGUAGCAUUCACACCAAGAACACUGGAGAGUAUUCCUCCCUCCUCGGCUGCCGACCGCCCUUGCCCGGCUGGUGAAGACCUGCCUGCUCCAGCCUUGUGGUGGGAACAGAUGUUGCUGCCAGGGCUGUGGCUCCCUGUGCCACUGUCCACGCCCAGGAACGGGGGCUUUGCCUUGCCCUCUGCUGUGGAGGGAAAAGGGAGGUGCCAAGAAGUGGGUCCCCGCCUGUGGCUUCCUGUUUCUGGGUGAAGGAGAGGGGUGGAGCUUUUGUGUCCUUGUCUGCGCUCACUGGGCGUAGGAGGACGGAAACCUCAGUGUGCCCUUGUCUCUUGUCUCCAGCUGCCUGGGCCUCGGAGCAGCGCCGGGUGCUGAGUGGACACUGUCCACAGAGAGGCCUGGGUCCCAGGCCUGGUGCCACCAGACAUGUCACCCCCUCCCACACUCUACUCCGAGACCGAAUGUUUGUGUGUGUCCCCCCUCCCCCCCCGCCCCAGUUCAUAUGUUGAAAUCCUAACCCCCAACGUGAUGGUAUUUGGAAGCAGGGCCCACCAGGGCAGAUGAGGACACGGAGAAGACAGCCAUCUGUGAGCCAGGACACUGAAUCUGCCAGCGCCUUGAUCUUGGACUUCCCAGCCUCCACA